CUUGGAGACCGGCACUUAAUAAUAUCGAGCUUAGCCUAAUGUUUGUUAUAAUUAAAACAAUUUCCCCUCGUAUUUCGCCCCGUGCCUCAUUCUCCCGCGGUCGAAUGCAAAGCGAUACGCUGCCGUAUACGCUACGUUAUAGGCGGAAGUAACGUCGACGAAAAAAACCGCGGAAACAAGCGGCCCGGAAAUUCGGAUUCGGAGGACGACCGGAAACCGUUUACCUACCUAUGCAGUAUUGUCAAGUCCGCGAGCACGACCUCUCUGCAGGAUUCAAUAUAGAAGA